GCUUACGGCCACACCGCUGGUUCACGCCUGAUCUCGGAAGCUAAGAUAGGUUGGGCCUGGUUAGUACUUGGAUGGGAGACCGCCUGGGAAUACCAGGUGCUGUAAGCU
rnacentral:rRNA from 1 species